AAGUGGGGAAAAGCCAGCAGUUACAGGCCUCACCCCGCUCCCAUGCAGCUCAAAAGGCUAGUCUCAUUCCUACUGCCCCACCCAACAGCACUGAGUUUAUCUCCAGGCAGUAGGCGUGCAGGACUGAGAAUCUGGCCCAGGUUACCAGUCUCCUGGCUGAGAAAGCAAGCAGGGCUUUCAAGUUUCGCGCCUCCCUGUGUCUGCUGCAACUUCUGUGCUGUGCCUGUACUGGCUAUCCACCCCUCCCCCAGGUUCUGUCCAGAAAACUUCACGUUCUGUCAACAUUGUAACAAAAUACAGCUAGAAGUUUUCUUCUCCCUGUGUUUUUUUCCCAGUUUCUCUGUCAGUCCUCCCCAAGGACCCCUGUGAGACAAAGUUGGAAAUAACUUCCCUGGGGACCAAGAGUGCCCGCAGGACUCUUCCCGCUGCUUCUUCUACCUCUGUAUUUUGCUUGGCUCUUUAAGUUUCUCUCAACUCCAGUGUUUUGGCUGUCUCCAGGGGUCUACAGCAGCAAUCCGCUUCCUUUGAAGGGCCUGUGGAUCCUCUCAGCUUUCCUGAAGGGGCAGCAGAAGAUAGGAAGAACAUAGAUCUCAACCUGAGGUUUAUCAAAGAUCAGAUCGUUGUCAUGGCAUGACAAGGAUGACCUUUCCAGCCUACAAUACCUGCUUGACCACUAAGACCAAAUAGCUCAAAUUAAAGGUAACAAAUUCCACAGGGACAAUUGUUCAACACAGGAAAAAGAAACCACCACUUUAAGAAUUUUAAACUAGAAGAGAUUUUACAGAAGAUGUUUUAAACAAAACCAUUGGAUGACCUGGAAUAACAAUGUCGGAAACUCAGCUGAGCUGGAUAGAGAACUCAGCUACCCAUUGUUGGAGAAGUUGAUUAAAGCAGCAGUAAAGAUCGAAGUAACAAUCAAGCCUUCAAUCACUUACUGCAAUAGUAUAAGCAAGAGGCCAAAACCAAAGAAACUGCCAACUCACCCAGGCCUUCUAAAUUCCCCAGAAAGGUGCACUGGUGGAGGGUCAGUGAAUGAGGACAGACAUGGGGGUCAGCUCACUAUUGAGGAAGCCCCAAACAAAUAUCUCCAGUAGAAUUACGAACCCUGGAGCAGGAGGUUGGAGUGGGAGGGGGAGAGCUAGGAGUAGAAGAGUAUGGAGUCAGAGGAGGGAACGGUUUCUUAAGCUUUCCUCCCACUCCACUCAUAAGAAAGCUUAAGCAGAAGCACCCGAAGAAAGCUCCAGCAGGAAGCCCUCAGAUAAAGAAACUUCUGAAUGAGGACACCUAGGUUAGGAAUGCAAAUAAGUUUAAGAACAUGCGCCAUUAGGAGGAUCUGAGUUCCUGAAUGCAAUUCUCUUUAAAGAUUGGAUUGCACUGGGUAUGCCCCAAGUCUGGGGAAGGCAACUUUCCUCGGAGGGGUUUGCCCGGUAAAGCCUUUGUCAUUGCCUGUGGUUGAGCCUGAAAUAUCAAACAUAGAUUUUUGGCCAGGACUCCUCAGCAGGAUCUAGUCAGGGCCUUCACGAAGUACAUUCAGAAUGACAAUUGACCCACCAGAAAGCCACCAUGCCACUACUUGAUAUUUUAAAUGAAAGGAUAUAUCUGAUAUCCAUAUCUGAUACCCAGUAGAAUUGGAAUGCUGCUAUCACCACUGUCGCUAUUGUCACUACCACACCUGCCUCUAGACACCUAGCAACCUAGAGGAUGGACCUUGGAGAAUGUUGCAGGCAAACCUCAUUUCUCUACUGUACUUUCCACCAACAGUCAAUUAAAGGAAGAUGAAGAUCGAGUGUGUGUGGAUGAUACAGCAAAUAAACCUUCUAGUUCUUAAA